GGGCCGUCGGAGCUGGUCCUGAGGUCCGAGCCAGGACUGAAGUCGGAGCGGCUUUUUGUGUGGACACGCACCUCCAGGCAGGCGGCUUGCCGCGGCAGGCAGGGAGGUGCCGGACAUGGCCUCCAACUUCAACGACAUCGUGAAGCAGGGAUACGUGAGGAUCCGGAGCAGGAAGCUGGGGAUCUUCAGGAGAUGCUGGCUGGUAUUUAAGAAGGCAUCGAGUAAAGGACCCAGGCGGCUGGAGAAGUUUCCGGAUGAAAAGGCAGCUUACUUCCGGAGUUUCCAUAAGAUAACGGAGCUGCACAGCAUCAAGAACAUCAUCCGACUGCCCCGGGAGACAAAGAAACAUGCAGUGGCGAUCAUCUUCAAUGACGGCACGGUCAAGACGUUCGCCUGUGAGUCCGAGCUGGAGGCUGAGGAGUGGUUGAAACUUCUCUGCGUCGAGUGCCUGAGCUCCCGGCUCAAUGACAUCAGCCUGGGCGAGCCGGACCUGCUGGCAGCCGGCGUGCAGAGGGAGCAGAGCGAGAGGUUCAACGUGUACCUGAUGCCAACCCCGAACCUUGACAUCUACGGGGAAUGCACUAUGCAGAUCACACAUGAGAACAUCUACCUCUGGGAUAUUCACAACGCCCGGCUCAAGCUGGUCGUGUGGCCACUGAACUCCCUGCGAAGAUACGGACGGGACUCCACCUGGUUCACGUUUGAGUCUGGGAGGAUGUGUGACACCGGAGAAGGCCUCUUCACAUUUCAGACCAGAGAGGGGGAGAUGAUCUAUCAGAGGGUCCAUUCUGCCACGCUGUCCAUCGCCGAACAGCAUGAGAGGAUGAUGAUGGACAUGGAGAAGAGCUCACAGGCGUACUCGAACGAGGCGACUUUAUCGAAGUCGAUAUCUCUGCCGCGGAGUGCAUACUGGCACCACAUCACCCGGCAAAGCAGCGUCGGGGACAUUUACCAUUUCCAAGUCAUAGGCUGCACACCCCCACUCGCGCCCAGCGAAGCCCAGCGGGCUUCCAGACUGACGGGCCGCGUCAGGGGAAGGGCCACCGGCGGAACAUGCGGACCUCGCAGUACCAUCAGAACCCGCCACUCACCCAGCGAGCUGGUAAACAUGAUGACUGGGUGCAUCCAUGUAGAUCUAACCCAAAAAACACUUUGACAAGCCCAUUAUGGUGAGAAAAGAAGCAACAUUGUACCACGAUGGUACUAGCUUUGUGCUUAAAGCUGAAAUUCAGGGUUUCCCUAAUCUGCAGUAAUUAACAUUAAUAAUGGUCACGUACCCGUUUCAUUUGGCCUUGCCUGCGAAGGCAACACAUAACCCAAUGCUAAGGCAUUUAGCCAGUUGAAGGUUAAACACCAUGAAUAGAAUGACAUUUACACUUGAUUUAUUUACUAGGAAACAACCAGCUUAGCAUGACCCAUGCAAGCUGAAUUUGUCAAGAGACUUUUCCAGAAGACAUCCCACUGACAGGAUCUUCGCAUUCUCCUGUGAAAGUUCCCCUUGUCUGUUUUUGAUUACCAUGUAUUUUCUGAGGGAUGUGGGAGUCGUAGGCUGUGGGGUGGGAUACAACCACAAAGCAGUAGCCUAGUGAAGCUGGGAAGGAUGUCCUUGGGAUGUGAGAGGACACCAGAGCCCCCAGAGGACACCCAAGAGGGCAGAGUUCAUCCUCUGCAUCCUCACAGCCCAGGAUGGACUGCAGACCUGCAGCCUGGGACCCCAGGACAACUCGCUCUUUGAAGGAAAAAAUAUUUACAAAGGAAGAAACCUGUGAACGGUGAUAGGUAAAAGCCUGCAAGCUGAAUUGGACUUGCAUUUUGACUAGUCUGGUGAAUGACACUAACCUGAUCUGGGGCUUCGACAGUGCUGCACCGUGGGCACAGAAACCUCCGGCAAGUCUUCCUGCUGCUUACAUGAGCCGCAGCACAGUCCUGAGAUGUCAAGCAGGAAGCGUCAAUUGCUCAAGCCAUGAAAAAAGACCUUUAUUUAAAUCUGUCAUUCUGCAGGAAGCAUGGUGUGAUUCUGCAGAGAGCAUUUUUUUCAUUGUUUCAUUUAUUGAUGAAAGGCAAAUUGCUGAUCACCUAAAUCUGCAAGUCUGUAGAACAUGUUGAGUAAAGGAAUGAGCACUAAUCCUAAUGAAACAGAAAGCCAGUGAAGCUGGGAAUGAUGGCUGGGGGAUGGGGGGCACCUGCGGAAAGUGUGGGUGUUACCGAUGACUCAUUAGGAGCGAGGAGAGUCACACAGAGUGGUGGGGGCAGGGGCCUCGUCCGCAGUCACCUCAGCGCUCAAAAGAUGGACUAAUGUGACCUAAACUCCGAACCUGAGUCAUGCCUCUCAAGUGGAAAGGUUGUGUAGAUAGUGUGAAAAACAUUAAUUAAAAUCGCUCUGUCUCCUGUUUUCAUGGUGUGACGGUGCUGAAUUCAAUCUGUUGUUAUUUUUUAGAGAUGCAGCAUAAUGAAAUUAUGCAGGGGUCUGUGAGCCGCUCCUAGUUUUGCUUAAACUAUGACUUGGUCUGUAAACAAUAAGAUGAGCGCGGGAUGCCAGACAUGGAAUCACUGACUGCUGCCCUUCACAAAACCAACCAUUGCCUUCAGUCUACGAGCAGCACUUUAAAAUUAUAAUCAGAUUCAUCUGCAAAAUACAAGCUCUCCAUUAAAAGAGCUGCAUUUCUGCCAAACUCUCAUAAGUAAGUAUUAAAGGGCAUACUUAACAAAUUGUGCAUCGCAGUCUGGGGAAUUUUCUGUCAAUAUAUUGGACAUGAUUCCUAGAAAACAAAGAGACCUCACUGAUAUCUUUGAGAACACAGCAUGCCCUAAGGAUUGUAUAUUUUAAACAACAACAACCCAUAGUGAAAGAAGCCAGCAUAAAUGAAUGAAAUUCAGUCCCAUCAUAACCAUGGCAUGAUUUAUUGAUGCUUUCAUUUAUUUUUCGCCUGUGGUGUGGAUGCUGGUCAUAAUGACCGUGGUGAGUCAGUGAUGAGUGGCAGUGGGGGCCCAUCGCCCAGGGGAAUGCCCGCCAUGCCUGCUCUGCAGCUCCGCCCACCCCCUGCCAGGAACAAACUUGACUAUGGCGUUCAUACCUCGAGCACAAACUUACCCCAGUUUCCUGUCAGAGGAAAACAC